UCGUCGUGUGUUACAAGUGUCACACGAGACCGCCGGUUUUAAGCCGGAGAAAGGUGAGGAUGAAGUCAAGUCAGCAUGGCCUUUAUAUCCUGGGCUACACACACGCUACAAUGGCUGGUACAAUUGGUCGCGAAACCGCGAGGUGGAGCCAAUCCUAAAAGCCAGCCUCAGUUCAGAUUGUAGGCUGCAACUCGCCUGCAUGAAGAUGGAGUUGCUAGUAAACGCAGGUCAGCAUUACUGCGUUGAAUACGUUCCCGGGGAUU
rnacentral:rRNA from 1 species